rnacentral:rRNA from 2 species
UUAAGCCAUGCAUGUCUAAGUACAAGCCGCUAUGCGGCGAAACCGCGAAUGGCUCAUUAAAUCAGUUAUGGUUCCUUAGAUCGUACCAUCCUACUUGGAUAACUGUGGUAAUUCUAGAGCUAAUACAUGCACAACAGCUUCUUUGAGCUGAUCGCACGGUCUCGAACCGGCGACGCAUCUUUCAAAUGUCUGCCUUAUCAACUGUCGAUGGUAGGUUAUGCGCCUACCAUGGUUGCAACGGGUAACGGGGAAUCAGGGUUCGAUUCCGGAGAGGGAGCCUGAGAAACGGCUACCACAUCCAAGGAAGGCAGCAGGCGCGCAAAUUACCCACUCCCGGCACGGGGAGGUAGUGACGAAAAAUAACGAUACGGGACUCUUCCGAGGCCCCGUGAUUGGAAUGAGUACACUUUAAAUCCUUUAACGAGGACCUAUUGGAGGGCAAGUCUGGUGCCAGCAGCCGCGGUAACUCCAGCUCCAAUAGCGUAUAUUAAAGUUGUUGCGGUUAAAAAGCUCGUAGUUGGAUUCCGGUCGCGGUCGGGCGGUGC